CCUACGGGGGGCAGCAGUGAGGAAUAUUGGUCAAUGGGCGGAAGCCUGAACCAGCCAAGUAGCGUGCAGGAUGACGGCCCUACGGGUUGUAAACUGCUUUUAUACGGGAAUAACGCGCCUUACGUGUAGGGCUUUGCAUGUACCGUAUGAAUAAGGACCGGCUAAUUCCGGGCCAGCAGCCGCGGUAAUACGGAAGGUCCGGGCGGUAUCCGGAUUUUUUGGGUUUAAAGGGAGCGUAGGCCGCAUGUCAAGCGUGCUGUGAAAUGUCUGGGCUCAACCCGCGCCUUGCAGCGCGAACUGGCGUGCUUGAGUCCGCGGAAAGCAGGCGGAAUUCGUCGUGUAGCGGUGAAAUGCUUAGAUAUGACGAAGAACCCCGAUUGCGAAGGCAGCUUGCUGCAGCGGAACUGACGCUGAUGCACGAAAGCGCGGGUAUCGAACAGGAUUAGAUACCCUUGUAGUC
rnacentral:rRNA from 1 species